rnacentral:rRNA from 1 species
UCUGGUGGAUUAGUGGCGAACGGGUGAGUAACACGUGAGUAACCUGCCCUUGACUCUGGAAUAAGCGUUGGAAACGACGUCUAAUACCGGAUACGAGCUUCCGCCGCAUGGUGAGGAGCUGGAAAGAAUUUCGGUCAAGGAUGGACUCGCGGCCUAUCAGGUAGUUGGUGAGGUAAUGGCUCACCAAGCCUACGACGGGUAGCCGGCCUGAGAGGGUGACCGGCCACACUGGAACUGAGACACGGUCCAGACUCCUACGGGAGGCAGCAGUGGGGAAUAUUGCACAAUGGGCGCAAGCCUGAUGCAGCAACGCCGCGUGAGGGACGACGGCCUUCGGGUUGUAAACCUCUUUUAGUAGGGAAGAAGCGAAAGUGACGGUACCUGCAGAAAAAGCACCGGCUAACUACGUGCCAGCAGCCGCGGUAAUACGUAGGGUGCAAGCGUUAUCCGGAAUUAUUGGGCGUAAAGAGCUCGUAGGCGGUUUGUCGCGUCUGCUGUGAAAACUGGGGGCUCAACCCCCAGCCUGCAGUGGGUACGGGCAGACUAGAGUGCGGUAGGGGAGAUUGGAAUUCCUGGUGUAGCGGUGGAAUGCGCAGAUAUCAGGAGGAA